rnacentral:rRNA from 1 species
AGUGAACGCUGCGGUAGGCCUAACACAUGCAAGUCGAACGGCAGCACAGGAGAGCUUGCUCUCUGGGUGGCGAGUGGCGGACGGGUGAGGAAUACAUCGGAAUCUGCCCAGUCGUGGGGGAUAACGUAGGGAAACUUACGCUAAUACCGCAUACGACCUUCGGGUGAAAGAGGGGGAUCGCAAGACCUCUCGCGAUUGGAUGAGCCGAUGUCGGAUUAGCUAGUUGGCGGGGUAAUGGCCCACCAAGGCGACGAUCCGUAGCUGGUCUGAGAGGAUGAUCAGCCACACUGGAACUGAGACACGGUCCAGACUCCUACGGGAGGCAGCAGUGGGGAAUAUUGGACAAUGGGCGCAAGCCUGAUCCAGCCAUACCGCGUGGGUGAAGAAGGCCUUCGGGUUGUAAAGCCCUUUUGUUGGGAAAGAAAUCUUUCAGGCUAAUACCCUGGGAGGAUGACGGUACCCAAAGAAUAAGCACCGGCUAACUUCGUG